UUCUUAUUAACCCAGCCCCUUCUUUCUGGACUUCUCCUGAUCUUUUUUUUUAUCUUUUUUUUUCUCUUUUCUGAAUUCGAAACGAAGGGACUGCUCUUGCGAAUCCAUCUUUUCAUACUUCCCACAAACACUCGAAGGAUCAGUAGUUCAUUAGAGCUCGUUUUGUACACUCCCCCAAACACUCAGGUUCACAAAUUCCGAUCCUCUCUCUCUCCGUUUCGCUUUGUGGUUUCACUCUAAUCCAUGGCUACUCAAGGUCAAGUCAUCACUUGCAAAGCGGCGGUGGCCUGGGAACCCAAUAAGCCGUUGUUGAUCGAAGACGUGCAGGUGGCUCCGCCGGAGGCCGGAGAGGUCCGGGUCAAGAUUCUUUACACCGCUCUCUGCCACACAGACGCUUAUAUACCUGGAGCAGGAGAUAAAAAUAAUAAUAAAAAUAUUUAAUAAUUAAUUAAAAAAUAUUUGACAGCAACUCUUACUGUCAAUCCAUGACAUCGCCACAUAAAAAUUGACAUUUCGUUUGGAUUAUUAUGAUCUUUUUUUACUGUUAUAAAUUAUGUGAAUAUUUUAACUAUCUCCUGAAGAUGCUCUAAUGCAAGUUUAGACGCAACAAGGACCCAACACCCAACCCAUACGUUGAGGCAUAUUCAUCACGCAAAACACGCAAUUACUGUCCUAGCUAAUGAUGCCCCAGUAUUGGGGUCGAUUUUGUUUAACAUUUUGCGGGUGUUUUUUGGCCUGAAUCGAAUCGGAAAUAAGAUUUCAAUUUUCUUUUGAAAAUUUUUGGAUCAGGAUCAGAACAGGCCAAAAUUUUCAAAUUCGAAAAUUUUUAGAUUAGUAAUCUCAAAUUUUUUGGAACAUAAUUCGGAAACUCAUAUAUUGUACAGUUCUUUCACUAAGUAACCACUGAGGCACUUGUUAUUCACUAACUCAUUGUACACUUAGUUACUAUUUUGCAAGUAUCUAACUUAAGCAUCAGAUUGGUCAUUUACUACGGUCUAGUGAUAUUCCUCUUCAUUUGUAAGUGAGAGGUUUUAAGUUCAAUUCUCAUCAAAGACGAAUUUGAACCAUUUUAUUGAUAGUCAAUUGUAAGGUUAAUCCCGCUCAUCUCCCCCUUAAUGUAGAUAUAUCAUUUGUUCAAAAAAAAGGCAAAAAAAAAAAAAACUGGGCAUCAGAUUGGGUUUGGUUGGUGCCAUACCAAUUUUUACCACUUUCAGGUGACUCUUUGUUCAUUUUUCCAAGACUCACCAAAAGAUAAAUGGAGAGCCAAGAUCAACCACUCUUAGUCAAAAGAGAAGAGAAGGGUUUUAAGUCCUCUAUGAGCUUGGGAAGGGUUCGACCCAACUUUAAGCUGACCAGUUUUUGUGCAUCAACACCAGGUUGCACUUGUACAUUAGUUUUGUAUCUGAUUCCGGAUUAUAGAAUGGAAUAAGUGUAUACCAUAUGGGUCAA